ACCAGAUAGCGGGAGUCCUUCAGCCGGACAAAGAAGGAGCAGACAAGGGAGACAGCUGUGUGUGACCCAAAGCUCGGAGGCCAGCCCGACCCAGCUAACCCACGGUGCUGAGAUUGAAUUUAGGGGCCUUGCACGUCUGGUCAAUCACUCCAGGACUGAUCUCCAUCCCUGUCUCUGGUUCUUGUAGUUCGCCGGUCUCACUGAGAAGCACAGUCUGCAGGGUCCCGAGUGGCCUUUCUGCCUCUGCCCUGUCCUCUCAGUGAUGGCAGCCUUGAAACUGUCUUCUGAGUUAUGGCAGCUACGCCCACAGGACUGGGUGACCCAGUGGGGCCUGGAGGUGGGGGACCACCACUGUCUGUCCUUGGUCUGAGAGGUGACCACAGCGGCUAAGAUGACCACAGGGGAAAUGGAGCAGGAUCCGAUCAUACAGAAGAGAUCUUCCGAGUCCACGGGAGUGAUGGGAGAUUG
rnacentral:lncRNA from 1 species